AUAUGCUUGUUCCAAAGAUUAAGCCAUGCAGGCCUAAGAAGUAGAAGCUGGAUCAGAAAUCUGCGGGAGGCUCCGUAUAUCUGGUACAACCUAGUGCCCGCCAAUACCGGAUAUCCCAGGUAAUUCUUAGGCUAAUACGUGCCAAUCCAAGGGCUGUCAAGGGUAUUACCCAUGAUUAUCCCUGGGCUUGUGCACCCUACCAAGGCCCCCCACCGGCUGGCGGGGGGACUGUGGGAGGACGUACAAGCGUUCCACACCGUCCUCGUGGCGGCACGGACAAUGGGUGCCAGACCUAUCAACCUGGGGGCCGGGGCGAGCCCUGCACCGGUUAUAACGGGUACAGAGGAUCAGGGUUCGGUUCUGGAGAGGUAGCCUUAGAGAUCGCUACUACUUCUAAGGAAGGCAGCAGGCGCGCAACGUUCCCCAUGGGUAUGCCCUGAGGACGUGACGGGGCAUAGCAACGCGGCAUUUGUUUAAUCGGUGCCUCGAUUGGAAUGGGGGGAGCCUAGAUCCCCCCCCGAGUAACG
rnacentral:rRNA from 1 species